UUUUAUGGAGAGUUUGAUCCUGGCUCAGGACGAACGCUGGCGGCGUGCCUAAUACAUGCAAGUCGAGCGAAUGACGAGAAGCUUGCUUCUCUGAUUUAGCGGCGGACGGGUGAGUAACACGUGGGCAACCUGCCCUGUAGACUGGGAUAACUUCGGGAAACCGGAGCUAAUACCGGAUAAUUCUUUUAGCCUC
rnacentral:rRNA from 1 species